rnacentral:rRNA from 1 species
UUUGAUAAUGCUGGGAUGUGAUGGGGAGCGAAAUUUAGUAGCGAAGUAGCUGAUUUCACACUGUCAAGAAAAGUCUCUAUCGAGGUUAAAGGUACCCGUACCGCAAACCGACACAGGUGGGUGAGGAGAGUAUCCUAAGGCCAGCGAGAGAACUGUUGUUAAGGAACUCGGCAAAAUGACCCCGUAACUUAGGGAUAAGGGGUGCCACCAUCAGGUGGCCGCAGAGAAUAGGCCCAAGCGACUGUUUACCAAAAACAUAGGUUUCUGCUAAGUCGCAAGACGAUGUAUAGGAGCUGACGCCUGCCCGGUGCUGGAAGGUUAAGGGGAUCUGUUAGAGCAAUCGAAGCAGUGAACUUAAGCCCCAGUAAACGGCGGCCGUAACUAUAACGGUCCUAAGGUAGCGAAAUUCCUUGUCGGGUAAGUUCCGACCCGCACGAAAGGCGUAACGAUUUGGGCACUGUCUCAACAACAGACUCGGUGAAAUUGUAAUUCCGGUGAAGAUGCCGGAUACCUGCGACAGGACGGAAAGACCCCAUGGAGCUUUACUGUAGCUUGACAUUGGGUCUUGGUACUACAUGUACAGGAUAGGUGGGAGGCUUUGAAACCAGGACGCCAGUUUUGGCGGAGCCAUCCUUGGGAUACCACCCUUGUAGUACUGGGACUCUAACCAUAGGCCAUGAAUCUGGUCUUGGGACACUGUCAGGUGGGCAGUUUGACUGGGGCGGUCGCCUCCCAAAAGGUAACGGAGGCGCUCAAAGGUUCUCUCAGUACGGUCGGAAAUCGUACGUAGAGUGUAAAGGCAAAAGAGAGCUUGAUUGCAAGACAUACAGGUCGAGCAAGGAUGAAAAUCGGACUUAGUGAUCCGGUGGUUCUGCGUGGAAGGGCCAUCGCUCAACGGAUAAAAGCUACCCUGGGGAUAACAGGCUUAUCUCCCCCAAGAGUCCACAUCGACGGGGAGGUUUGGCACCUCGAUGUCGGCUCAUCACAUCCUGGGGCUGUAGUAGGUCCCAAGGGUUGGGCUGUUCGCCCAUUAAAGUGGUACGCGAGCUGGGUUCAGAACGUCGUGAGACAGUUCGGUCCCUAUCCGUCGCAGGCGUAGGAAAUUUGAGAAGACCUGUCCUUAGUACGAGAGGACCGGGAUGGACGUACCUCUGGUGUACCAGUUGUUCUGCCAAGGGCAUGGCUGGGUAGCUAUGUACGGAAUGGAUAAGCGCUGAAAGCAUCUAAGCGCGAAGCCAACU